rnacentral:rRNA from 1 species
AUGACAGACUUCCAAAACCUCUCUGCACAAACUGAAUGCUUAAACCGCGCCCACCUAAUUCUGCUGCCAAAAAUAGAAGAAGCACAUACACCAGGAUCCUACCGCCCGAUCUCUCUCCAAAACUGUCCCGUCAAAGCCGCCGCCAAGAUCCUCACCAACAGAUUAAAACCACUGAUCCCACUGCUUGUUUAUGGAAACCAGACUGGCUUUAUCUCAGGCCGUUGCAUCGUGUAA